ensembl:lncRNA
GUACACAAGCACACACAUCACACAGAGAGGUACACAAGCACACACAUCACACAGAGAGGUACACAAGCACACACAUUACACAGAGAGGUACACAAGCACACACAUUACACAGAGAGGUACACAACUCCACAUUACACAGAGAGGUACACAACUCCACAUUACACAGAGAGGUACACAACUACACACAUUACACAGAGAGGUACACAAGCACACACAUUACACAGAGAGGUACACAACUCCACAUUACACAGAGAGGGACACAAGCACACACAUUACACAGAGAGGUACACAACUACACACAUUACACAGAGAGUUACACAACCAGACACACACAUUACACAGAGAGGUACACAAGCACACACAUUACACAGAGAGGUACACAAGCACACACAUUACACAAAGAUGUACACAACUACACAUACACACAUUACACAAAGAGGUACACAACUACACAUACACACAUUACACAAAGAGGUACACAACUACACAUACACAUUACACAGAGAGGUACACAACCAGACACACACAUUAGACAGGGAGGUACAUAACUACAGACACAUUACACAGAGACGUAAACAACUACACAGUUACACAACACUGCAGGUUGUUAUGCACAAAACAUUACACAAUGCACACUUUUACACCACACAAGGGAAUAAAAUGUGUUUGUGUUAGUAAGUCAUAAGCUUCAAAGGCUGCAAGCUGUCGGGUUUCCCUUCUAAAGGCAGCACAGUUUCAAACAGAAUGUCUUAACAAACGCACGCACAUGCACACACACGCACAGAGCUGGUGACGUCAGAGUGGAUGCUCCUGUUUCACACAUGCGUCUCUUCCCUUCAUCACACAAAUCAUCUCUGUUUCAUCCCUAGCUCUCUGGGGGAAAAAAACAUGAACUGGACUGACCUUAUUCCCUGUGAGAGAGAGACAGAUGGGAAUGAAGAGAGAGAGAGAGAGAGAGACAGAGAGAGAGAGAGAGAG